rnacentral:rRNA from 1 species
GAUGAACGCUGGCGGCGUGCUUAACACAUGCAAGUCGAACGAUUAAAGCCCCUUCGGGGGUGUAUAGAGUGGCGAACGGGUGAGCAACACGUGGGCAAUCUGCCCCUCACUUCGGGAUAACUCAGGGAAACCUGAGCUAAUACCGGAUACUCCGGUCUGACCGCAUGGUCGGACCGGGAAAGUUCCGGCGGUGAGGGAUGAGCCCGCGGCCCAUUAGCUUGUUGGUGAGGUAACGGCUCACCAAGGCGACGAUGGGUAGCCGAGCUGAGAGGCUGAUCGGCCACACUGGGACUGAUACACGGCCCAGACUCCUACGGGAGGCAGCAGUGGGGAAUCUUGCGCAAUGGGCGAAAGCCUGACGCAGCAACGCCGCGUGCGGGAUGAAGGCCUUCGGGUUGUAAACCGCUUUCAGCAGGGAUGAAACUGACAGUACCUGCAGAAGAAGCCCCGGCUAACUACGUGCCAGCCGCCGCCGUAAUAC